rnacentral:rRNA from 1 species
GACGAACGCUGGCGGCGUGCUUAACACAUGCAAGUCGAACGGAAAGGCCCUGCUUUUGUGGGGUGCUCGAGUGGCGAACGGGUGAGUAACACGUGAGUAACCUGCCCUUGACUUUGGGAUAACUUCAGGAAACGGGGGCUAAUACCGGAUAGGAGCUCCUGCUGCAUGGUGGGGGUUGGAAAGUUUCGGCGGUUGGGGAUGGACUCGCGGCUUAUCAGCUUGUUGGUGGGGUAGUGGCUUACCGAGGCUUUGACGGGUAGCCGGCCUGAGAGGGUGACCGGCCACAUUGGGACUGCGAUACGGACCAGACUCCUACGGGAGGCAGCAGUGGGGAAUAUUGCACAAUGGGCGGAAGCCUGAUGCAGCAACGCCGCGUGCGGGAUGACGGCCUUCGGGUUGUAAACCGCUUUCGCCUGUGACGAAGCGUGAGUGACGGUAAUGGGUAAAGAAGCACCGGCUAACUACGUG